rnacentral:rRNA from 1 species
AGUGAACGCUGGCGGUAGGCCUAACACAUGCAAGUCGAACGGCAGCACAGUAAGAGCUUGCUCUUACGGGUGGCGAGUGGCGGACGGGUGAGGAAUACAUCGGAAUCUACUUUUUCGUGGGGUAUAACGUAGGGAAACUUACGCUAAUACCGCAUACGACCUACGGGUGAAAGCAGGGGAUCUUCGGACCUUGCGCGAUUGAAUGAGCCGAUGUCGGAUUAGCUAGUUGGCGGGGUAAAGGCCCACCAAGGCGACGAUCCGUAGCUGGUCUGAGAGGAUGAUCAGCCACACUGGAAGUGAGACACGGUCCAGACUCCGACGGGAGGCAGCAGUGGGGAAUAUUGGACAAGGGGCGCAAGCCUGAUCCAGGCAUACCGCGUGGGUGAAGAAGGCCUUCGGGUUGUAAAGCCCUGUUGUUGGGAAAGAAAAGCAGCAGGUUAAUACCCCGCUGUUCUGACGGUACCCAAAGAAUAAGCACCGGCUAACUUCGUG